UACGUAGGUGGCAAGCGUUGUCCGGAUUUACUGGGCGUAAAGGGCGUGCAGGCGGUUUGUUAAGUGCAGGGUGAAAGCUCCCGGCUCAACUGGGAGAGGUCCUUGCAUACUGGCGAACUCGAGGGAGGCAGAGGAAAGUGGAAUUCCCGGUGUAGUGGUGAUAUGCGUAGAUAUCGGGAGGAACACCUGUGGCGAAGGCGGCUUUCUGGGCCUUACCUGACGCUGAGGAGCGAAAGCGUGGGGAGCGAACAGG
rnacentral:rRNA from 1 species